rfam:Calothrix sp. HK-06 NIES-2101_Scaffold_103, whole genome shotgun sequence.
UGAGGCGUCGCCAAGUGGUAAGGCAUCGGGUUUUGGUCCCGACAUCCCUAGGUUCGAAUCCUAGCGCCUCAG